CCGGGUUGCGGACAGUGUCUGGUGGGUAGUUUGACUGGGGCGGUCUCCUCCCAAAGAGUAACGGAGGAGCACGAAGGUUGGCUAAUCCUGGUCGGACAUCAGGAGGUUAGUGCAAUGGCAUAAGCCAGCUUGACUGCGAGCGUGACGGCGCGAGCAGGUGCGAAAGCAGGUCAUAGUGAUCCGGUGGUUCUGAAUGGAAGGGCCAUCGCUCAACGGAUAAAAGGUACUCCGGGGAUAACAGGCUGAUACCGCCCAAGAGUUCAUAUCGACGGCGGUGUUUGGCACCUCGAUGUCGGCUCAUCACAUCCUGGGGCUGAAGUAGGUCCCAAGGGUAUGGCUGUUCGCCAUUUAAAGUGGUACGCGAGCUGGGUUUAGAACGUCGUGAGACAGUUCGGUCCCUAUCUGCCGUGGGCGCUGGAGAAUUGAGGGGGGCUGCUCCUAGUACGAGAGGACCGGAGUGGACGCAUCACUGGUGUUCGGGUUGUCAUGCCAAUGGCACUGCCCGGUAGCUAAAUGCGGAAGAGAUAAGUGCUGAAAGCAUCUAAGCACGAAACUUGCCCCGAGAUGAGUUCUCCCUGAGAC
rnacentral:rRNA from 2 species